rnacentral:piRNA from 1 species
UGGGCUGUGUUCACCAGGUGUCUACAACCUC